rfam:Picea glauca, whole genome shotgun sequence.
GCAGACAUAGCCAAGUGGACCAAGGAAGUGGAUUGUGAAUCCACCACGUGCGGGUUCAAUUCCUAUCAUUCGCU